UAUGCCCUUUCCCAUCAGGAGGAUUACUAACGGAUGGGACCAGUUCCAACCACGGCUGCACCCACACUCGUGGAGGAGAGCCGGAUGAUGAAGAUCGGGGCUCCUGGAAAGGUGUUCGGGAUGCUGGGCCUCGCCCGAUACGGCACGCCGAAAAAACUUUUCAGGAAUUACCAGAAUUGGGAUGCGAAUCCGGAUCCUUCUGCGUGGCACGCCGACAAUUUUACCACUCGGCCAUCCCUGUCACCUGACUUUCCACUCUAGUCAGAAAGUCAAAGCGAGUUUGAUUCUCGGGUCCUACUACUUGGAAAUUCCUUUUACGGAGUCCGGGCACGGCUCUCGAAUCCCCACUUAGAAUCAGG
rnacentral:lncRNA from 1 species